rnacentral:rRNA from 1 species
GACGAACGCUGGCGGCAUGCUUAACACAUGCAAGUCGAACGGAACGGCCUCUUUCGGGGGGUACUCGAGUGGCGAACGGGUGAGUAACACGUGAGUAACCUGCCCUUCACUUUGGGAUAACUUCAGGUAACUGGGGCUAAUACCGGAUAGGAGCUCCUGCUGCAUGGUGGGGGUUGGAGAGUUUAUGCUGUUGGGGAUGGAGUUGCGGCUUAUAAGCUUGUUGGUGGGGUAAGGGCUUACCAAGGCUUUGACGGGGAGCCGGCCUGAGAGGGUGACGGGCAACAGUGGGACUGAGAUUCGGACCAGACUCCGACGGGAGGGAGCAGUAGCGAAGAGUGCAAAAUGGGUGGAAGCGUGAUGCAGCAACGGCGUGGGCGGGAUGGCGGCGUACGGGUUGGGAUCGGCAUUCGCUCAUGACGAAGAUGUGUGUGACGGUAGUGGGUAAAGAAGCACCGGCUAACUACGUG